rnacentral:rRNA from 1 species
AUUGAACGCUGGCGGCAUGCUUUACACAUGCAAGUCGAACGGUAACAGGCCGCAAGGUGCUGACGAGUGGCGAACGGGUGAGUAAUGCAUCGGAACGUGCCCAGUCGUGGGGGAUAACGCAGCGAAAGCUGUGCUAAUACCGCAUACGAUCUAUGGAUGAAAGCGGGGGACCGUAAGGCCUCGCGCGAUUGGAGCGGCCGAUGUCAGAUUAGGUAGUUGGUGGGGUAAAGGCCUACCAAGCCGACGAUCUGUAGCUGGUCUGAGAGGACGACCAGCCACACUGGGACUGAGACACGGCCCAGACUCCUACGGGAGGCAGCAGUGGGGAAUUUUGGACAAUGGGCGCAAGCCUGAUCCAGCAAUGCCGCGUGCAGGAUGAAGGCCUUCGGGUUGUAAACUGCUUUUGUACGGAACGAAAAGCCCUGGGUUAAUACCCUGGGGUCAUGACGGUACCGUAAGAAUAAGCACCGGCUAACUACGUGCCAGCCGCCGCUGUAACAC